rnacentral:rRNA from 1 species
GCGCAGCAGUCGCGAAAACUCCGCAAUACACGAAAGUGUGACGGGGCCAUCCCGAGUGCCGUCCGCUGAGGACGGCUUUUCCCCAGUGUACACAGCUGGGGGAAUAAGGAGAGGGCAAGCCUGGUGUCAGCCGCCGCGGUAAUACCAGCUCUCCGAGUGGUGGGGACGCUUAUUGGGCCUAAAGCAUCCGUAGCCGGCUGGGCAAGUUCUCCGUUAAAUCCAACGAUUCAAUCGUUGGGCUGCGGGGGAUACUGUCCAGCUUGGGGGUGGGAGAGGCCGACGGUAUUCCCGGGGUAGGGGUGAGAUCCUAUAAUCCCGGGAGGACCACCAGUGGCGAAGGCUGUCGGCUAGAACGCGCCCGACGGUGAGGGAUGAAAGCUGGGGGAGCGAACCGGAUUAGAUACCCCU